AGCGAACGCUGGCGGCAGGCCUAACACAUGCAAGUCGAACGGACCUUUCGGGGUUAGUGGCGGACGGGUGAGUAACACGUGGGAACGUGCCUUUAGGUUCGGAAUAGCUCCUGGAAACGGGUGGUAAUGCCGAAUGUGCCCUUCGGGGGAAAGAUUUAUCGCCUUUAGAGCGGCCCGCGUCUGAUUAGCUAGUUGGUGAGGUAUGGCUCACCAAGGCGACGAUCAGUAGCUGGUCUGAGAGGAUGACCAGCCACAUUGGGACUGAGACACGGCCCAAACUCCUACGGGAGGCAGCAGUGGUGAAUCUUGCGCAAUGGGCGAAAGCCUGACGCAGCCAUGCCGCGUGGAUGAUGAAGGUCUUAGGAUUGUAAAAUCCUUUCACCGGUGAAGAUAAUGACUGUAGCCGGAGAAGAAGCCCCGGCUAACUUCGUGCCAGCCGCCGCUGUAACAC
rnacentral:rRNA from 1 species